AUUGAACGCUGGCGGCAGGCCUAACACAUGCAAGUCGAACGAGUGGCGGACGGGUGAGUAAUGUCUGGGAAACUGCCUGAUGGAGGGGGAUAACUACUGGAAACGGUAGCUAAUACCGCAUACCAUCAGAUGUGCCCAGAUGGGAUUAGCUAGUUGGUGGGGUAACGGCUCACCAAGGCGACGAUCCCUAGCUGGUCUGGGAAGAUGACCAGCCACAUGGGCACAGAGACACGGGCCAGACGCCAACGGAGGGGAGGAGUGGGGGAUAUUGCACAAAGGGCGCAAGCCUGAAGCAGGCCUGGCGCGUGUAUGGAGAAGGCCUGAGGGUUGAAAAGUACUUUCAUCGGGGAGGCGUUACCCGCAGAAGAAGCACCGGCUAACUCCGUGCCAGCAGCCGCGGUAAUAC
rnacentral:rRNA from 1 species